CAGUGGCAGGCAAGUGGUGGCGAUUCGGUGCGAGACGUCCGCGUGAGGCACGCUGUGAUUAUCCGAGCCGGCAUGGAACACAGUCAGGUCCUCGAAAUGGCGCUGUAGGAUCGUCCAGGGUCUCCAGAUCCUGGUUAUCCUGGAGAUGCAGUGAUCCUUGUGCUCCAGUAUAUCCAGCAGAUUCAGGGUCUUCAAGGGGUAGCAGUGCAGUUCACCGUCUCUCUGUGGCCUGGUGGAGCUUCUGCUGCAGCUUCAUCUGUGGAGUAUACCCAGCAGAUCCAAGGUCUUCAGGAGAUCCACGUGAUCCAGCAGAUCCAGGGUCUUCAGGAGCUACACGUGAUCCAGCAGAUCCAGGGUCUUCAUUGGGUAGCAGUGCAGUUCACCGCCUCUCUGUGGCCUGGUGGAGCUUCUGCUGCAGCUUUAUCUCUGGAGGGAAUCCUGGUGAUCCUGAAUAACCAGGAGCUACAGGUGAUCCUGGUGAUUCAGGGGAUUCAGUGGAUCACAGUGCAGUUCUGCACCACCUCUCCAUGGCCUUGAGGUGCGAGUGUUGAAUUAACCUGCCCCACCACCGAGCUCUGUUCGUCCAUUCUACUCCUAAACA